UUUACAUACCCCUUGCAGAAUCUACAAAAUAUUAAUACUCUUAACAAAAUAAGAUUGAUCCUGUGUGAUCGUUGGGAACUCCAUUGUGCGAAACGUCCGCGUCGCUUCAACAAGGGGUAAGGUGCAUACACAGUUUUUCUUUUGUUUGUGUCCUUGAUGUCGCUGAGCAGCUACCAGGAAUCCUGAAGAAGGACUAGCGCAUUGGAGCGGUCGUGCUGCACGUGGGGGAAAACAUCAGGUCAGUAGACUUCUUGCUUUGAAUGACUGUUUAGUUUCUUGGUGUAAUGAACAGAAUCUGCUGUUUGUUAAUAACUGGAAUCUGUUCUGGGAUCGGAACUGCUGUCAGACAACAUCUCCAAGAUGCUACAGACCAAGUGACUGUCUACCGUCAAAUUAUUCAUAAACAUGGAAUGAAUUUCCACUGUUAUGCUGAUGAUACAGAGCUGUAUGUUUGCAACUGAACAAUAACAACAAUAAACAACAACUGAAGAAUAGCGAAAAACUUCAACUGUUUUCGUGCUUACUUGAAGACGAUGAGGCAGAGCAGCAUCGGAGAGACAGUUCGCUCCAUUCUCCAAAGAAUCGUGGAGAACAGUCUGUAAUAUAUUGCCGAACAAGCACAUGGACGUGAAUAUACUGUUGCCGGUUGCAGAGAGGCCAUCGGCAGCUACCUAAAAAAUGCCCCAGGCAGGAAAAGUGGCAAGAAACAUAUUAUGAGUGUUUAUGAUGAAGCAGAGCUACGUGGGAUCUCCAGUGCGUCCUGCAAGAAUUGGGCCUGAGUCCAGUUCAGAUUCAAUUUUGUAAUCUCAUUCCUCUCCCUUGCGUGACAGCCUCCAAACAGUACAAUUCUAAUGAGCUUGAAUAUACGGGGAAUUCCAUUGGGUUUGAUGUCUGACUAAUUAAAGACCCACCUCUUCUAUGAACACCUAACCAACUCAUAAUAAAAAAAAAAUAUAAAAAAAAAAAAAUGCACUUACACCUCUAGUCUGCACUUUGCUUCUUCUAGAAUUCAAUGAAUAGAUCUUGUAUGGUAGCUGCUCUUGUAUUGUUCUCUGCUUGAUAUAUCGCUUUGCUUGUAUCUUUCUUAUUUGUAAGUCGCUUUGGAUAAAAGCGUCUGCUAAGUGAAUGUAAUGUAAAUGUAAUAAAUUGUUUUCUUUGAUUAGCAAUACAUAUGUACUAUAUCUGGCUGUUUUGUGUGUUACAAUAUUGAAUGUCAUUUUUCAGCUAUUCACUUUGUCUGCAUUUACUAAAAUUCAUGCAUGUUUAUUAAAAAUAUUCACGGAGUUUGUUAAACUAUAUAAUUGUUGUCUAUCAUUCAUAAGAUUCGUCAUGGGAAUUCCAUAGACCAGAAUCUAACAUCCACAUUAUUGAAGCAUUGUUUAAUUACGGAUUUUUUUA